rnacentral:rRNA from 1 species
CUUGGUGAUUUUAGAGAAGAGGAUACACCUGAUCCCAUCCCGAACUCAGAAGUUAAGCUUUUCAUCGCCGAUGGUACUGUACUCAAGAGUACGGAAGAGUAGGACGUCGCCAAGU